ensembl:lincRNA linc-59 ncRNA
AAAAUUUAUACUCUCCUGAUACGGCGUGUAGGCUUCUUGUGUUGAGGCCCCCCUGCUUUUUCUGAAAUUUUUUGUCAAAAUUUUCCUGAUCAGUUCCGUUUUAAUCACAGCGCCAUCAUCGACAUUUGGAUGGUCGCCUGGGAAAUCUGUCAAGAAAUGAAAAAUUGAUAUUCUACAGAGACAUAAAAGAAACCAAUGAUAAGGUUCGGUACCAAAUGACGAAAUCCGAUUAUAAUGGAGCCGUUAAAGUGAUACAAAAUGUUAAAUAGCACCUUUCUCAUCGUUUAGAUGGGCAAUUGGAAAUUUGUUUCAAAAAACCAAAGAAGGGUAUUCUAUCGCAAUAUACAAUAAACGGACGACAAAGUGAAAUUUCAAACGGCGGAAAGCAAUUUCUAUCCGAAACGAUGGAAUCCUGGACCAUCCGCAACAGUGAUACAUAAUGUAUAAAAAGUUUGGAAGUUUAAUUUUUUAUUUGAAACAAUGAAUACAUUUUUGAAAUUUUG